GACGAACGCUGGCGGCGUGCUUAACACAUGCAAGUCGAACGGAAAGGCCCUGCUUUUGUGGGGUGCUCGAGUGGCGAACGGGUGAGUAACACGUGAGUAACCUGCCCUUGACUUUGGGAUAACUUCAUGAAACUGGGGCUAAUACCGGAUAGGAGCUCCUGCUGCAUGGUGGGGGUUGGAAAGUUUCGGCGGUUGGGGAUGGACUCGCGGCUUAUCAGCUUGUUGGUGGGGUAGUGGCUUACCAAGGCUUUGACGGGUAGCCGGGCUGAGAGGGUGACCGGCCACAUCGGGAUGGGAAUGAGACCCGGCCCCCACCCGGAGGCAGCAGUGCGGAAUAUUGCAUAAUGGGCGGAAGGCAGGUGCAACACAGCCGCGUGGGGGAUGAGAGGAAUCGGUUUGUAAUCCGCUUCCCUCUUUGACGAGGUGAGAGUGACGGUAAUGGGUAAAGAAGCACCGGCUAACUACGUG
rnacentral:rRNA from 1 species